rnacentral:rRNA from 1 species
CCCUUAGAUGUUCUGGGCCGCACGCGCGCUACACUGAUUCAUGCAACAAGUUUUGUCCUUGGCUGAUAGGCCUGGGUAAUCUUUGAACGUGAAUCGUGAUGGGGAUAGAUGAUUGCAAUUAUUCAUCUUCAACGAGGAAUUCCUAGUAAACGCAAGUCAUCAGCUUGCAUUGAUUACGUCCCUGCCCUUUGUACACACCGCCCGUCGCACCUACCGAUUGAAUGGUCCGGUGAAAUCUUCGGAUCUGAGAGAUGUCUGAUUAAUUUCGGACGCCUUUUGGAAAAGUUGUUUAAACCUUACCAUUUAGAGGAAGGUGAAGUCGUAACA